rnacentral:lncRNA from 13 species
ACCGUAAUGCCCACAGUGAGAGUAAAGAUUGUCUCAGUCCCGCCAACACAGCCAGGACUGUUUAACGCUCACUCCUUCCUAAACUGAAAGAGCGCGAAGCUGGUUCCAAAGUGCACCAGAAAUGCAGAGCAACUGCGAUGCUUAAAGACAGGAAGCCCAAGGAAUAUGCCAUUAAAAAUGGCACAGUCUAAGGCGGCUAAAGCUCCAAACAAAUGAAAGGUUCAGGCUGCGAUAAUCCCACCGACAUAUUCAAGAGGGGAGCUCGUUCCGGGAUUGACCACAUCUGACCUCCAGCUUCAUGUCUUGCUGCUGUGGGGACCAGGCAGGCAACAGGAGGAGAAAAGGAGAGUGCCAGGAUGGAAGUCCAAGGAGGGCCAGCACCGUUUUCCUCACUGAUGUCUUCAAGUACUGACAACAAUGUCGGCGCAUGUGAAUCUUCAGCAAAUGCCUGGCAAACAUUGAGUGAAUUUCACAACUCCCUUGGGUAAGACCUGGGAAUCCAAAGCUUUCCCCUCCUCUGCUCCACCCCGUUAUCCAUGGACACAACGAUUGCACGUGGACCUGCCUUGUGAGGCUGAAGGCAACGUUGCAACAAGAUUCUCUGAUGCAAGUUUGUAGCCCGCAGACCCGGUGCAUCUCUGACACCCAGCAUGAAUGAGGAACCUUGCAGAAUGAACUGGUUGGUGGCCAAUUCAGCAGCCACAGCACCUUCGGUGAUUUAAUGUAAAUACACACAAUCACGAAAACAAUGCUCUAAAACUGUGCUUAGAGUCUUUGCCACAACCACCCUCUCCUCUUUCCCUUGCCGUAAU